CAAGAUUUAGGCAGUUAGUAAGGAGGCGUAAACUGACAUCGUCCAGAGUCGCAAAUGUCGCGUGUUUGAAGAGAUCCGAGUUCAACUCCUUAUGGGGACAGGCAGCCUUAAAAAUUGCCAUCAUUAAGACAUUUCAUAUGGUUUUCAAACCCACAUAUUGUACCAAACGUAUAUACGUUUUAUGGAGGAAGCUGUAUCAUAAAAGGCAUCUGCCCACCUCCUCCACAAUGCUGAAAAGACCUCAUUCUGUUUUUAAGCAGCUAAGGAACUUGUGAAUUUCACAGCACCUUUGGGGGACUAUUCAGAAACCCUGAUGAAUGUGCAGAGUUUGAUACCGGACUGUCCAUGAUGUCAUAUGUUGAACCAAUAUCAUCUCGUUCUGGAGUAAGGGGAAAUGCAGUAGGGCUUGUGUUAUCUGAAAUGCCAGCUCUUCUGCCUCUCCGUGGUGGGGCCUGUGACGAAACAAACUCAGACUUAUUUUAUAUUACAUAAAUUUGUUUCACAGCAAACUGUGUUAAUGUAAAUUAUUUAAAAUUAAAAAAAUUACAAUGUG